rnacentral:rRNA from 1 species
AAAUUGAAGAGUUUGAUCAUGGCUCAGAUUGAACGCUGGCGGCAGGCCUAACACAUGCAAGUCGAACGGUAACAGGAAGCAGCUUGCUGCUUCGCUGACGAGUGGCGGACGGGUGAGUAAUGUCUGGGAAACUGCCUGAUGGAGGGGGAUAACUACUGGAAACGGUAGCUAAUACCGCAUAACGUCGCAAGACCAAAGAGGGGGACCUUCGGGCCUCUUGCCAUCGGAUGUGCCCAGAUGGGAUUAGCUAGUAGGUGGGGUAAAGGCUCACCUAGG